rnacentral:rRNA from 1 species
UACGUAGGGGGCAAGCGUUGUCCGGAUUUACUGGGCGUAAAGAGCGUGUAGGCGGCCAAGCAGGUCCGUUGUGAAAACUGGAGGCUUAACCUCCAGACGUCGACGGAAACCGUGCGGCUAGAGUCCGGAAGAGGAGAGUGGAAUUCCUGGUGUAGCGGUGAAAUGCGCAGAUAUCAGGAGGAACACCGGUGGCGAAGGCGGCUUUCUGGACAGUAACUGACGCUGAGGCGCGAAAGCUAGGGGAGCAAACAGG